UACGAAGGGGGCUAGCGUUGUUCGGAAUCACUGGGCGUAAAGCGCACGUAGGCGGACUUUCAAGUCAGGGGUGAAAUCCCGGGGCUCAACCUCGGAAUUGCCUUUGAUACUGUAAGUCUCGAGUCCGGAAGAGGUGGGUGGAAUCCCUAGUGUAGAGGUGAAAUUCGUAGAUAUUAGGAAGAACACCGGUGGCGAAGGCGGCCCACUGGUCCGGUACUGACGCUGAGGUGCGAAAGCGUGGGGAGCAAACAGG
rnacentral:rRNA from 1 species